GACGAACGCUGGCGGCGUGCCUAAUACAUGCAAGUCGAGCGCAGGAAAUCGACGGAACCCUUCGGGGGGAAGUCGACGGAAUGAGCGGCGGACGGGUGAGUAACACGUAAAGAACCUGCCCUCAGGUCUGGGAUAACCACGAGAAAUCGGGGCUAAUACCGGAUGGGUCAUCGGACCGCAUGGUCCGAGGAUGAAAGGCGCUUCGGCGUCGCCGGGGGAUGGCUUUGCGGUGCAUUAGCUAGGUGGUGGGGUAAUGGCCCACCAAGGCGACGGUGCAUAGCCGACCUGAGAGGGUGAUCGGCCACACUGGGACUGAGACACGGCCCAGACUCCUACGGGAGUCAGCAGUAGGGAAUCUUCCACAAUGGACGAAAGUCUGAUGGAGCAACGCCGCGUGAACGAUGAAGGCCUUCGGGUCGUAAAGUUCUGUUGUAAGGGAAGAACAAGUGCCGCAGGCAAUGGCGGCACCUUGACGGUACCUUGCGAGAAAGCCACGGCUAACUACGUGCCAGCAGCCGCGGUAA
rnacentral:rRNA from 1 species